CUCCAAGGCUAAAUACUCCUGACUGACCGAUAGUGAACCAGUACCGUGAGGGAAAGGCGAAAAGAACCCCGGCGAGGGGAGUGAAAAAGAACCUGAAACCGUGUACGUACAAGCAGUGGGAGCACGCUUAGGCGUGUGACUGCGUACCUUUUGUAUAAUGGGUCAGCGACUUAUAUUCUGUAGCAAGGUUAACCGAAUAGGGGAGCCGAAGGGAAACCGAGUCUUAACUGGGCGUUAAGUUGCAGGGUAUAGACCCGAAACCCGGUGAUCUAGCCAUGGGCAGGUUGAAGGUUGGGUAACACUAACUGGAGGACCGAACCGACUAAUGUUGAAAAAUUAGCGGAUGACUUGUGGCUGGGGGUGAAAGGCCAAUCAAACCGGGAGAUAGCUGGUUCUCCCCGAAAGCUAUUUAGGUAGCGCCUCGUGAAUUCAUCUCCGGGGGUAGAGCACUGUUUCGGCAAGGGGGUCAUCCCGACUUACCAACCCGAUGCAAACUGCGAAUACCGGAGAAUGUUAUCACGGGAGACACACGGCGGGUGCUAACGUCCGUCGUGAAGAGGGAAACAACCCAGACCGCCAGCUAAGGUCCCAAAGUCAUGGUUAAGUGGGAAACGAUGUGGGAAGGCCCAGACAGCCAGGAUGUUGGCUUAGAAGCAGCCAUCAUUUAAAGAAAGCGUAAUAGCUCACUGGUCGAGUCGGCCUGCGCGGAAGAUGUAACGGGGCUAAACCAUGCAC
rnacentral:rRNA from 1 species